UUUAGUCUAAAGAAAGCAUUGCAAUUGGCACUGUUCUUGACUGUUCAUUGUACCUGAAUUUCACUUUAUUUACGAGGCUACCACUGAGUCUCUCUGCCGCUCAUUUUCACGCCGCGUGUUGAUAAUCGUGGGAAGGCAGGGGUGCGAUGGGUCUGUAGGGUUUCGAACGGGUUGGCUGGGUUAGAGACUUUCAUUUCCUUUCUUUGUGAGCUGCAGUGGGACUCGAUGAGAGCAUGCCGUCGGGAGAGAGAGCGAGUGAGCAAAGAGAGAAUAGAGACAGGGAGGGAGAGAGAUAGAGAUUUGGUGAGAGGAAGGCAUGCGGCUUGCAGGCAAACAGAGUCACAGGGGGUGUACGAUUGGAGGGAGAGAAAGGGGUUGGUUUCGAAAGCUCUACCUUAGGGUUUAGGGUUGUUCCUGCAAGAUUUCAACAGCGUUUUCCCUCUUCUCCACUAUUUUCCUUCAUUCCCUUUUCUCUAAACCAGAAAACUAGAUUCCUCUUCUGGAGUCUCUCCCAGUGUGGAACCCCCGCCACCACCAGGCGCCACAGCUGCGUCAAAGGUUUGCGUGUUGAAUUUCACAUCAACGGCAUCUCCCUAUAACCUAGGAGCUUGGUUCGGAUCGGCCGAUUCCGGAGGCCCUACCAUCGAGAUCUACAAAGGAUGAUGAAAGCAUUUCGUCAUUGAUCUUUGGAGAAACAGAGGCAUGCAUAUAAAAUAUAGCUCCACGAUUGGCUAGCGUGAAUCUUGGUAUCUUCAUAUGCAUGCAAUGUUCAGGGAUCCACAGUAGUCUUGGGGUACAUAUAUCAAAGGUGAGAUCUACCACUUUGGAUACAUGGCUCCCAGAGUAGGUUGCAUAUAUCCAAUGUAAGUACCAAUGCUGUUUUACCAGCUUCUUUCCAUUCUGGUAGUAAGGUCAUUACUCUGUCAAGCAAGGUUGCACUGAGAGUGAGAACACCGAGGGCACACUCUCUUACCCUCACUGACCCACAUUAAAAAAGAGGCACAUUAUGUUUGCACCCUAUUUUCGCAUAUCUCUGUAAAUUUAGCUAUUUUUUAUCCAGUUUUUUUUUUCGUUAAGUUUCCAUCUUGCUGUUAAUUUAGGUGUUUUCUAUCUGUGUUGGUCCAUCUACUUAUACUUUUCAAAUGUUGGUUCAUCUUAUGUUACUUAUGAAAUGAUAAUUAUCGCACGAGGAGAAGCAGAGGGCAUUAUUGCAAAUGCAGUGGAGAGUUUUGGUAAUAAGCCACAAGAGGGCCUAGAAGUGAAUUCAAAGAAGAUAAAUCUACGAGAUUAGAAAGAGAAAAAGGGCAAAGGAAAGCUAUGGUGACUCUCGGAAGAUGGUUCAAGUCUCUGUUGGAGGGGAGAAUCAGACCAUUGAGUGGGCUAUACGACUAACAGUUGCUCUGAACAUUGCCAAAGCAUUAGAUCACUGCAGCAGCGAAUGCCGCCCAUUGUACCAUGAUUUAAAUGCAUAUAUGGAUCUCUUUGAUAAGAGUUGGCUUCAUUUCAGUCCAGUAACUCUCUAAAUAGGUCCAAUAACUCACUAAAUAGGCAAGUCAAGCAGAAUUCAGCGUUGCACGCCUUUUUUGGUAUGCUGUUUAAAUCUGUAUGUCAUUUAAUUCAUUCUUCAUGUUUAACUUUGUUCUGCAGGCUUCCUAUGGCUAACUUAAGCAUUUAAGUUAUUCAUUUGUUAAAGAUGUUAGCUAUUUUGGAACAGUUUGAAAGUUAAUGCAUGACUCGAUGAUGACUUUUAGCUUGCCCCACUUAUCUUUCACGCUCUCACUUCAUUCAUGUGCUGAGUCAUGGUUUAACUGUCUAAAUUCAAGAACUUAAAAUGGCCAGCAGGCUAAAAAGUGAUUAGAUUUUGAGAUGCAUAUUUUGGUUUCUCAUUAUUUCUUUGUUUUGUAUUUUUCAUUUAUUAAUGUUCUUUUGGCAGCUUAUUUGAUUGUAUUUGUGGUUUCCCGGGGACGAACAAAUCCUCUCCUUAAACGUCGAUUCUCAGAAGAAUCACAUUUCUGAUGACCUCUGGGAGAGAAUGAUUAGUUGGAGUUCCGGGACGAGUUCGCUGCGACCAAAAUUGAUGCCUUACUUCGAUUCCAAACUCUCCAAAGCUGCCUUCUUUAUAGAUCAUCAAAGCAGUGCUGAAAUUCUGAGAAGGUAUAUUUAGAAACAAUUAUUAAGUUUUACCAAAAAUUUUGCUCAUUUUUUUUUCUUCAUUUUCUUAUGAAAUUUAG